rnacentral:piRNA from 1 species
UGAUGAUUUCAUAUGUAGUAG